AGAGUUUGAUCCUGGCUCAGGAUGAACGCUAGCGGCAGGCCUAAUACAUGCAAGUCGAACGGUGUAGCAAUACAUAGUGGCGCACGGGUGCGUAACACGUAUGCAACCUACCUUAUACUUAGGGAUAGCCUUUGGAAACGGAGAUUAAUACUUAAUGGUAUAUUUAGCUGGCAUCGGUUAGAUAUUAAAGAUUUAUUGGUAUAAGAUGGGCAUGCGUCCAAUUAGUUAGUUGGUGAGGUAAUGGCUCACCAAGACGAUGAUUGGUAGGGGAACUGAGAGGUUAAUCCCCCACACUGGCACUGAGAUACGGGCCAGACUCCUACGGGAGGCAGCAGUAGGGAAUAUUGGGCAAUGGAGGGAACUCUGACCCAGCCAUGCCGCGUGCAGGAUGAAGGCGUUAUGCGUUGUAAACUGCUUUUAUAUAGGAAGAAACAGACCUUGCGAGGUAAAUUGACGGUACUAUAUGAAUAAGCACCGGCUAACUCCGUGCCAGCAGCCGCGGUAAUACGGAGGGUGCAAGCGUUGUC
rnacentral:rRNA from 1 species